rnacentral:rRNA from 1 species
GACGAACGCUGGCGGCGUGCUUAACACAUGCAAGUCGAACGGAAAGGCCCUGCUUUUGUGGGGUGCUCGAGUGGCGAACGGGUGAGUAACACGUGAGUAACCUGCCCUUGACUUUGGGAUAACUUCAGGAAACUGGGGCUAAUACCGGAUAGGAGCUCCUGCUGCAUGGUGGGGGUUGGAAAGUUUCGGCGGUUGGGGAUGGACUCGCGGCGUAUCAGAUUGUUGGUGGGGUAGUGGCUUACCAAGGCAUUGACGGGUAGCCGGCCUGAGAGGGUGACCGGCCACAUUGGGACUGAGAUACGGCCCAGACUCCUACGGGAGGCAGCGGUGGGGAAUAGUACACAGUAGGCGGGAGCAUGGUGUAGCAACGCCGCGUGCGGGAUGACAGGAAGCGGGUAGUAUUGUGAAGUCGUCUGUGCCGAGGCGUGAAUGACGGUACCGGGUAAAUAAGCACCGGCUAACUACGUG